AGGACGAACGCUGGCGGCGUGCUUGAUACAUGCAAGUCGAACGGAGAGUGUAGCAAUAUACUUUUAGUGGCGAACGGGUGAGUAACGCGUUGGUGACCUGCCCCGAAGCGAGGGAUAACAGUUCGAAAGAACUGCUAAUACCUCAUGUGAUCACCGGUUUUAGAAUCUGGUGAUUAAAGGUGAAAAUCACUUCGGGAGGGGCCUGCGUCCCAUCAGCUAGUUGGUAAGGUAAUGGCUUACCAAGGCGAUGACGGGUAGGGGACCUGAGAGGGUGGCCCCCCACAAUGGAACUGAAACACGGUCCAUACACCUACGGGUGGCAGCAGUAGGGAAUAUUGCAAAUGGGCGAAAGCCUGAUGUAGCAACGCCGCGUGUGCGAUGAAGGUCUUCGGAUUGUAAAGCACUUUUUGGAGGGAUGAGGAAGGACAGUACCUCCAGAAUAAGCCUCGGCUAACUACGUG
rnacentral:rRNA from 1 species